rnacentral:rRNA from 1 species
GGAAUAUUGGACAAUGGGCGCAAGCCUGAUCCAGCCAUGCCGCGUGUGUGAAGAAGGCCUUCGGUUUGUCAAGCACUUUCAGCGAGGACGUCGGGGUUGUUGUUAAUAGCAACAAUUUUUGACGUUACUCGCCGAAGAAGCACCGGCUCACUCCGUGCCAGCAGCCGCGGUAAUACGGAGGGUGCAAGCGUUAAUCGGAAUUACUGGGCGUAAAGCGCACGCAGGCGGCUUUUUAAGUCGGAUGUGAAAGCCCCGGGCUCAACCUGGGAAUUGCAUUCGAUACUGGGGAGCUAGAGUAUGUGAGAGGGGGGUAGAAUUCCAAGUGUAGCGGUGAAAUGCGUAGAGAUUUGGAGGAAUACCAGUGGCGAAGGCGGCCCCCUGGCACAAUACUGACGCUCAGGUGCGAAAGCGUGGGGAGCAAAC